rnacentral:rRNA from 1 species
CGAUCUGGCUCAGAACGAACGCUGGUAGCGUGGAUUAGGCAUGCAAGUCGAACGGGAUCGGCUGGUUAGCAAUAAUCGGCCGUGGGAGUGGCGGAUUGGGGAGGAACACGUGAGCAACCUGCCUUGGAGUCGGGGAAAACCGUUGGAAACGACGGCUAAUACUGGAUGUGGCGCCCGGUGACAUCACCGGAGCGCUAAAGGGGGCCGCAAGGCUCUCGCUCCUAGAGGGGCUCGCGCACCAUCAGCUUGUUGGCGGGGUAACGGCCCACCAAGGCCUACGGUUAGCUGGUCUGAGAGGAUGACCAGCCCCACUGGGACUGAGAUACUGCCCAGACUCCUACGGGAGGCUGCAGUCGAGGAUCAUUUGCAAUGGGCGAAAGCCUGACAAUGCGACGCUGCGUGGAGGAUGAAGGCCUUCGGGUUGUAAACUCCUGUCAUGGGGGAACAGGCGAGGAUACCUAAUACGUAUCUUAGUUGAGUGUACCCCAAGAGGAAUUGGCGGCUAACUCUGUGCCAGCCGCGGC